GGAGGGGUAUGAUCGACUGUUGGGACAGGCAACCUGAAAGUCCACCAAACCCACCCUGUCACACAGGAGAUUACCCUUUGACUUCAAGACCUGGUUCAGGAAAAUCUAAGGAACAGUGUCUUGUUUUCACACUUCCAGAGGGCUGCUUCUUGGAGCCAGUUAUGUUUAACUGCUCAGAGAAGGGGCAAAGCAUAAACCGAGUUGCCCAGAAGCCUGAGGUUCAAAGCAAAAUGGAAAAUUUCCCUGAGUUGAGACGUCAAAUCAAUUUAAAAAACAACAAUGAAGUCCGGUGCUGUGGACACAGAGACAGAAGGAGAGUGUGCCAGGAAGAUGUUCUUGUUGGCAAGGUGUCCACCUAGGCAUUUUACAGACGGUCCACUGAGGUCCAGAGACGUGGGGCCCCUUGCUC
ensembl:lncRNA